UUUGAAGAGAACUGUUUCCUGGCUCACUGGGGAGGUCCCAGAUGAUUGGAAGUUGGCGAAUGCCAUGCUGAUCCACAAAAAAGGCCGGAAGGAGGAACUGGGAAACUACAGGCCUGUCAGCCUGACCUC